AAGUCGUAACAAGGUUUCCGUAGGUGAACCUGCGGAAGGAUCAUUAACACGUAUCCAAACGUUAAACCAUAGCCCGGAAAGUUGUAGUGAUUAAGAGACCUCUGGCUACGUGCAAACAUUGGAACAGUACAAUGGAGCGGUAGUUCUAUAGGCAAUGUUUCCCAAUUAGUCAGUGUCGGAAAGUGUCAUUGAUUGUGCAAUCAUAGCGCUUUCUACGAUUUCUGUAGACCGUACACUCGGGCAGGAGCUUUGCCAAAGGGUCCCCAUGCCCCCUAAUAACCCCACAGUUUAAUGUGAAGCUCAAUGUAAUACAGUGGGCAAAAAAACCGAACAACUGGUAACAAUGGAUAUCUUGGUUCUC
rnacentral:misc_RNA from 1 species